AUGGCCAUGGUGCUUUGGGUCUAUCUGCUCUGUCUGCAGGGAUGUCUUCUCACAUAUGCUCUGGACUGCACGGACAGAAGGGUGGACUGUGCCAACACACAGGUUACAGAGGUAAAGGUUAAAGAUGAGCCCUUAUCUUCUCUGGUGAGGGCUCGAAGACAAGCUCAAAUCACUCAGCGACCUGGAUCUUACUCAGUCAAAGGAUCUCCUAACACACUCAUCCAGACCGACAGGUCGAGGCAACAUUUGAACGCUAGUAAAAAAAAGCCCCACAGAUCUCGUAUCGGCUCUUACUCACUACUUUCCCAUAACCACGGAACCAACCCACUACAGGUCAGCAUAGCCACCAGAUCCAGUAUGUAUCCAGACCAGAUGGUGGAUCAGCACCUAAAGAGGACCUCUACAACCCCGAAAGUCAGCGGAGACCAGGACAACUAGAUGAGCCCCAGAUACCCUGUAAAGACCUGAUGAACUGCCUUUAACUGAAAAAUAAAUGUUUACUACUGUCAUUUUGCA
ensembl:lncRNA